rnacentral:rRNA from 1 species
AUGUCGUAAGGGAAAAUAAUGAUAUUACCUUACUAAUAGUGUCGUCAAAAGCUGGUGCCAGAAGACUCGGUAAGACCAGAGACGCAAACGUUAAUCAUCAUAAACAGGCGUAAAGGGUUUGUAGGCUGCUUUAAAAUCUUAAUUUAAAUUAAGACCAAUUAAAGCUAGAAUCAAAUAGAGGUUAUAUUAAAUAAUACUUAGAGGAGGGAUUAAAUCCAUAGAUCCUAAGGGGAAUACUAAGGGCGAAAGCAUUUUACCACUAAUGAUUGACGCUGAGAAACGAAGGUGAGGAUAGGAAAUAGGAUUAGAUACCCCGGUACCCCUCUCUGUCAACGAUGAAUGGUAGUUCCUAGUAAAACAAAACUAGAGGCGAUGUUAACACGUUAACCAUUCCGCCUUGUGAGUACGAUUGCAAAAUUGAAAACAAAAAAAUUAGUCGGUCUCGAAGCAAACGAAGUGAAG